rnacentral:rRNA from 1 species
AAUCUUGCGCAAUGGGCGAAAGCCUGACGCAGCCAUGCCGCGUGAAUGUCGAAGGUCUUAGGAUUGUAAAAUUCUUUCACCGGGGACGAGAAUGACGGUACCCGGAGAACAAGCCCCGGCUACCUUCGGUCCAGCAGCCGCGGUAAUACGAAGGGGGCUAGCGUUGCUCGGAAUUACUGGGCGUAAAGGGCGCGUAGGCGGAUCGUUAAGUCAGAGGUGAAAUCCCAGGGCUCAACCCUGGAACUGCCUUUGAUACUGGCGAUCUUGAGUAUGAGAGAGGUAUGUGGAACUCCGAGUGUAGAGGUGAAAUUCGUAGAUAUUCGGAAGAACACCAGUGGCGAAGGCGACAUACUGGCUCAUUACUGACGCUGAGGCGCGAAAGCGUGGGGAGCAAACAG